rnacentral:antisense_RNA from 1 species
AUGAUGAGGCAUUAAAGAAGAGGAGGAGUGUCUCAAGGGAGGUGAGCUGGAGGUGAUGCAAGGAUGUCUGAUCUGAAAGCAUGUUGUGGUCCGCUACACACAAGAGCAAAAGAAGAGCAGAAAGGAGCUCAGUGCCAAGACCAUAGCCACAGGAAGAAAACCAGCUCUUAGGGCUGCAGCUCUAAAGACAGGCCAGGUCAUUACAGGAACGUCUGCUCCCUUAGCCUUGCCAGACAGAAGAGGGUUAAGAAAGGAACUGCUGACCCUGAUAUGCAAACUGCCACGAGUGCUUCCUGCCUUUCUAUCAGCGUCAGAUGGCUAGCGAUGGAUGGCUGUGGAGAGAGGAUUCCAGACAGAUAUUUGAGCAGAACAAAGAGAGCCAACAGGAUGAAGGCAUUCCCUGGCUGGUUGGACAAGCAACUGAAGAACAGGAACAGAAGUGAAUGAAAAGAGAAGAUGCUGUGUUUGUGUUUUCUCUUGGUUAGAAUGCUGUGAGUCAGGACCUUAGCUGCUGGGUGUCCUGGGACUGCCUUCGAUGAAGAACCUGAGGCUCACCUUGCUUAAGUGACUU